rnacentral:rRNA from 1 species
UACGUAGGGGGCAAGCGUUGUCCGGAAUCAUUGGGCGUAAAGAGCGUGUAGGCGGCCCGGUAAGUCCGCUGUGAAAGUCCAGGGCUCAACCCUGGGAUGCCGGUGGAUACUGUCGGGCUCGAGUCCGGAAGAGGAGUGUGGAAUUCCUGGUGUAGCGGUGAAAUGCGCAGAUAUCAGGAGGAACACCAAUGGCGAAGGCAGCACUCUGGGCCUUACCUGACGCUGAGGAGCGAAAGCGUGGGGAGCGAACAGG